rnacentral:piRNA from 1 species
UGGCAGUCAGGAAAUACAGGCUGGUGCAGU